rfam:Schistosoma curassoni strain Dakar, Senegal genome assembly, scaffold: SCTD_scaffold0006927
AUCAAUCUGACGAGUCCAAAAUAGGACGAAAUGCACAUCCUAGAU